rnacentral:rRNA from 1 species
UGCCCGCGAUGACAUCAACCCCGGAAUAAGGUCCGGCUAACUACGUGCCAGCAGCCGCGGUAACACGUAGGGACCUAACGUUGUUCGGAAUUAUUGGGCGUAAAGGGCGCGCAGGCGGCCGCUCAAGUCUGGUGUUAAAUGGUCGGGCUCAACCCGAUCAUGCGCUGGAAACUGGGUGGCUUGAGUUCAGGAGGGGAUGCCGGAAUUCCAGGUGUAGGGGUGAAAUCUGUAGAUAUCUGGAAGAACACCGAUGGCGAAGGCAGGCAUCUGGCCAUGAACUGACGCUGAGGCGCGAAGGUGCGGGGAGCAAACAGGUUUAGAUACCCUGGUAGUCCGCACAGUAAACGAUGUGCACCAGGAGUCGGGCAGCAGUGUCCGGUUCCGUAGCAAACGCAAUGAGUGCACCGCCUGGGGAGUAUGCUCGCAAGGGUGAAACUCAAAGGAAUUGACGGGGGCCCGCACAAGCGGUGGAGCAUGUGGUUUAAUUCGAUGGUACGCGAGAAACCUUACCAGGGCUUGACAUAUCC